UAUUUGUUUGUUUUAUUCUGCGCCCGGAAGUAGGUACUAUUUAGGAUUGGUCAUCACCAGCUGCCUCAUUCACGCGAAAUCCUUCCAUUGCAGACUCUGUUUGCAAAAAUCUCUCUCAUUCUUCUCCUCUAUCGCCUCAUUUCUCUGUAGCUGCUGUGUCUUCUUAUAUUUCUGUGCUCUCUCAGGUCAUGUAACAAUCUUUUCUCUUCUGCUCUUCAAAGUUCUUUGUAUUGCUUCUCCCAAGUAUUUCUUCUGAAUAAUGUGAUCUUGGUUUAAGUGCUCUUGUUGCUUCUUUUUUCUGGUUUAUUAAUGCCCACUUGCUCAAAACUCUUCUAAAGCAAUCUUGCAUUGAUUCCAAUCAUGGGUUCUCGUUAAAUCGUCUUGUCAAGCCAUCUGUGUAUAGUUCUGUUAAUGCCCAUUUGCUUCAAAUUGUUUUGAAAAAUUGAUAAUGUUGUGUUUGACAAUGGGUUUUCGUUAAUUUGGUUCUUUCUUCUCUUAGUCUCACUACUCUUUGGCCAGGAUUUUUGCUGUUUUUAGCAUUUAUAACUGUAACAUGUAAUUUGAAUCCAUCAGUUGCUUCUUCUUUUAUGUUAGUUUGCUUUUUGGCGGGACUUAGUUCACGAAUAGAAAGCCUUUCAUGAUAAUGAAAUAAAAAGUUUGUUCUAAUGGAUCUUUAUUUCAUUGAAGUCAAACGCUAACAAGAUCUGAGCAUAUGCAGAGCAUCUGUUCUUUCCGGUAAUUUAGACUCUUCUAUUUCAUUAUGGAUUCUGUUCGCUAACAUCCUUGAUUCUUAACCGACAGAUGGAAUUCAAGUGAUUUGAUUAUUGCUAACCGGUUACUUUUUUCUUCACUGCAAAUAUACCAAAAUCAUUCUUUAUAUGUUCCUUCAAAUGUAAAAUACAUUUGUCUACAGAAUUUUAUACUAUCCAAAAUGAUUAGUUUAGGCUUAUAUUCUUGUUUUUCAUUCUGGUCCUUGUGUCCAUAACUUCUUACUCUUUACAUUCACAUAUGCAAGCUUAGUUAUCGUAUUGGCCUCUCGAGUUAGAGUCUGCUGUUUUUAGUUUUAGUUGGUUGUUUGUGAACAAGAAAUUCAAAGAUAUACGUAUUUCCUUCUUAUUCACCAAAACUUUGAACCAUAAUGGAGGAAACUUUUGUUCCCUUCCGUGGUAUAAAAAAUGAUCUCAAAGGAAGGCUUUUGUGCUACAAACAAGAUUGGACUGGUGGUUUCCGUGCUGGUAUCAGGAUCCUAGCUCCAACAACAUAUAUAUUCUUUGCUUCAGCAAUUCCAGUCAUAUCUUUUGGGGAACAGCUAGAGAGAAAUACAGGUGGAACUUUGACUGCAGUGCAAACUCUUGCAUCAACAGCACUUUGUGGCAUCAUCCAUUCAAUUGUUGGAGGACAAACCCUGCUCAUACUGGGGGUUGCUGAGCCAACUGUGUUGAUGUACACAUUUAUGUUCAACUUUGUAAAGGACAGGAAGGAUCUGGGGCCAAAACUCUUCUUAGCCUGGACUGGAUGGGUUUGCGUAUGGACAGCCCUGUUGCUUUUCUUGCUGGCAAUAUUGGGUGCGUGCUCUAUAAUUAACAGAUUCACACGUGUUGCUGGUGAAUUGUUUGGUCUGCUUAUUGCAAUGCUCUUUAUGCAGCAGGCCAUAAGGGGAGUUGUGGAGGAGUUUGGCAUACCGGAGAGGGAAAAUCCUAAUCAGACUGCACUCCAACCUUCUUGGCGAUUUGGCAAUGGAAUGUUUGCGUUGGUUCUCUCCUUUGGCCUUCUUUGGAAUGCAUUAAAGAGCCGUAAAGCUAGGUCCUGGCGCUAUGGGACAGGUUGGCUACGAGGAUUUAUUGCAGAUUAUGGAGUUCCACUUAUGGUGCUUGUAUGGACUGCAAUAUCCUACAUGCCAGCUAAGCAUGUUCCAAGAGGGAUACCAAGGCGGCUUUUCAGUCCAAAUCCAUGGUCUACUGGUGCAUACUCAAAUUGGACAGUUAUCAAGGAAAUGACUGAUGUGCCUGCUUUAUACAUAGUUGGAGCAUUUAUUCCUGCAACCAUGAUUGCUGUCCUCUACUACUUUGAUCACAGUGUUGCAUCUCAACUUGCCCAACAAAAGGAGUUCAAUUUGAAGAAACCAUCUUCCUAUCAUUAUGACCUCCUGCUGUUGGGAGCUUUGGUUAUUUUAUGUGGUCUCAUUGGCAUUCCUCCGUCAAAUGGUGUAAUUCCACAAUCUCCAAUGCAUACUAAAAGCUUAGUUACAUUGAAGCAUCAGCUUUUGCGAAAUAAACUUGCAUCAACAGUCCGAAAAAGUAUAAGCAAAAAUGCAAAUCUGGGUCAAUUGUACCAAAACAUGCAAGAAGCCUACAAUGAAAUGCAGACUCCUUUAGUCUAUCAACUGCCACCUUCACUGGGGCUGAAAGAGCUGAAAGAAUCAACUGUCCAAUUGGCCUCAAGGGCUGGCUACAUUGAUGCCCCUGUAGAUGAGACUGUUUUUGAUGUUGAUAAAGACAUAGAUGAUCUUUUACCAGUUGAAGUCAAAGAACAACGCCUCAGCAAUCUGCUUCAGGCACUGAUGGUUGGAGGUUGCAUUGCUGCUAUGCCCCUCUUGAAGAAGAUCCCAACUUCAGUUCUCUGGGGAUACUUUGCUUUUAUGGCCAUUGAAAGCUUGCCAGGAAAUCAAUUUUGGGAGAGAAUAUUAUUGCUUUUUACAGCUCCAAGUCGAAGAUACAAGGCAUUGGAGGAGUGCCAUGCGACUUUUAUUGAGACGGUGCCCUUCAAAACAAUUGCCAUUUUCACCUUGUUCCAGACAGUUUACCUGCUUGUGUGCUUUGGCAUAACAUGGAUCCCAAUAGCUGGGGUGCUUUUCCCAAUGUUGAUCAUGCUUCUGGUCCCUGUACGACAGUAUCUGCUCCCUAAAUUUUUCAAAGGUGCACAUCUACAAGAUUUGGAUGCAGCAGAAUAUGAGGAAGCUCCUGCUGUAUCUUACAAUAUGGCAUUUGACGUAAGUUACCUUAACCUUUUCUUCAAUUCAGGUAGGAUUGCUUAACAAUCAAGUUGGUGAAAAAGGCUCUUUCUCCUGAGUGCUAUUUGAUGGGAUAAGUCAAUUAACAUGGAUCUGGUUUUUGUCAUGUCCACUCGAAUGUUUUGUCAAGAACUGCUAUAACUUUCUAGGGACUAAACUGAUAGAGUUCAUCAAAGUGUGUGCUAUAGGGAUCGAUACUUCUAAAUGUUUGACUGAAUAAGGAUAAUGUUGAUUCUGAAGCUUUGAGCUUUAAUCUGCAAAAUUCUAUGCCUCUGGCAGGAUCAGGAUCUUCAAGCAAGAUCAUCUAACAUUGAUGGAGGAGAAAUUCUUGAUGAAAUUAUCACAAGAAGCCGAGGUGAGAUCCGCCGUACACAAAGCCCUAAAGUGACAAGUUCCAGUCCAGGUUCAUUACACGACAUAAAACCUGCAUAUAGUCCGCGUAUGUCACUGAGGGCAUACAGUCCGCGUGUUAGUGAACUGAGGGCAGAAUGGAGCCCCCAUUCUAUUGGAAAGGGAGUUGAAAUAAAGCGAACUCCUAGUCCAGGCCCGUCUAGUCUUGGUCAAAGCACUCGCGGUUCAUCUUCAAGCUAAUUCUGGUGAGUUUAGUUGUCAGUUUGCUCGAGAGGCCUUUCACUAAGAAUAUGUAACUGAGUGAUAUAUGUUUAGGUGUGUUUUUGUCUUCUUGGUUCAAAAAUUAGGAUAUCUGUCACUGCUUAUUCGCUCUGUAUGUCGCAGAUAGUUUUCUGGGAGUUGGUAUUAAUGAAAUUUGUGCAUUAUGUUGAAAGAAAGCAUUCUCAUAUUGGGAACUAAAGGGCCAACGAAAUGGGAAAUUGAUGGUAAUGUAAUAAACCUUAAUUUGUUUGCAAUGCAAAUAAAUGCUACUAUAAUCUUACUCCAAAAUGUCAAAAGUGAAUGCACUUUAGAAUAAUGCAUAAAAGCUGAAGACAGUAGACUUCCUUUCCUGCUUACUCCUUCAAAACUUCAUUUUUGUUAGCAAAUUAGUAACUUCUAGCUUUCUGAGCCUCUGCUUAACAUCAAUUAAUUUCUUGUGAAACAACUCCUGCAUAACAUGGAAUUCAACAUAAGAUCAUUUUACAUUUGAUCCAAAAACCAAAAAGCAUUUUAAUUUCUAAAAAUUUGAGAAAUGUUCCUCUAAGAUUUGCAACCGUUUUUUUUUUUUUCACUGCAUCUUAUAAGGACUUGGCUUGCUAGCAUAGUUCCCCCUCCACCACCGCCUUUCUCGUUUGGCUACCCAACAUAAAGGUUUGAAUCUAUGUAUUUUUUUUCAAUCACAUGUUACCCCUUUUACCUCUCAAGCUAAGAAUUAAAAGCUACCAAGGAACAUGAUUACUUCAAGGGUCUAUUCAUACUUGUUAUGCAUCAGAUGUUUUUCAUGGUCCCAAAGCAGAACCGGAGUAAAUAACCAGGUACAAGUUCGGCAGGUCUCAGAUUCCUGUGUCUAUACUUUGAUUUGCUUUCAUUUUACCAGUUGUGAGAUGUUUCUAGCCAUGCUGUAAGAAUUUGUGAAAGCAGAUGAGUAAAAAUUCACAGCAUGUCAUCUAGGAGCACCAGAAUGGAACAGGUGCGUAGUAUCUGUCAUCUCAGCAGCCCCUUUACAGUUUACAGGCACUAUUUGUCUUCAGUUCCCUCCUUUUUCCUAGAAAAAAGUCCUCUCAAGGGAGCAGUUGUUCUGACAAGUGAUGUAGACGAUGUUCAUGUAGCUAUAAGUCUUCCAGCCUUCCACUAAUGGUUCUAGGGUGGUGAGGGAAAUCUCUUCAAGUAAACAUCGCUAUCAAGGGGAGCAAUCCACUUUUGAUUUAUAUGUCCUUGCCUUGACAUUACAGAAGCUAAUGGGAGUAGCCUAUUAUUAGGUGGGAGCUGCCAUGUCCUUCAUUUCCUAACUGAUAACAUUUUAUAAUCUUGGAUUUGAUCAUUUUUCAUAUAUCUUAUUGCCUAAUUGACCAUUUUGUUUAUUUAGUUUUUCUUUCGCUUUCUGCUUGCAUAAUUUUAAUGCUUUUAAGGUGCGAAAUCUGUUUAACUGUAAAAUGAGAACAGCUGCAUAAGAAAAAUGAAUUUCAUGAACAAGGAUGAGCAGAAAAGUUGAUGAACUGAUUACUUGUAUCAAAC
rnacentral:misc_RNA from 1 species